rnacentral:rRNA from 1 species
GUGAGGAAUAUUGGUCAAUGGGCGGGAGCCUGAACCAGCCAAGUCGCGUGAAGGAAGAAGGAUCUAUGGUUCGUAGACUUCUUUUGCAGGGGAAUAAAGUGCAGGAUGUGUCCUGUUUUGUAUGUACCUUGAGAAUAAGGAUCGGCUAACUCCGUGCCAGCAGCCGCGGUAAUACGGAGGAUCCGAGCGUUAUCAGGAUUUAUUGGGUUUAAAGGGUGCGUAGGUGGUUUGAUAAGUCAGCGGUGAAAGUUUGCAGCUUAACUGUAAAAAUGCCGUUGAAACUGUCGGACUUGAGUGUAAAUGAGGUAGGCGGAAUGCGUGGUGUAGCGGUGAAAUGCAUAGAUAUCACGCAGAACUCCGAUUGCGAAGGCAGCUUACUAAGCUACAACUGACACUGAAGCACGAAAGCGUGGGGAUCAAACAGGAUUAGAUACCCUUGUAGUCC